GAUUUCUGUGCGGAGCUCUCUCAACGCAAAAGGAAAAUGCCCAAACGGCUAAAAGUUCCAAGUGCCUCGUGCCGUUUCCAGAUGGCAACUGUACCGGCUGAAUAUUUGCACUUUUUGGGCAGUCAGUGUAAGGAUGCAAGAUGUGCACCCUUUCGGAGACCAGCGUAAUGGAAGAUACCAGUGAGCAAUGAAAGAAGAGGAAAGAAACCAGCCAUAAGGAAGCCAGAAAGAAACCAUAGGAGGGUUUCUACUCUCUGGCAAUUCGUCUGUUUGGUCCUGCCUUCCAUUCGCUACCAUGCGCCUCCCUGCUGUAAACCAAUGGCAGCGCGACAUCACUUCAAAUGAUCCGAAUACAUCACUGCGUGAAACCUCAACGUGUACAGUUAGUGUCGCCAUGCAACAAGCAGAAAAGAAAAACAGUUGGCGCUGCUAGUGGAGCACAACCCGUUAGUCAGAAAGGGAGUGAAACUUGGCAAUGGAAUAUCGAUCAUUGAUAAUUUGUGGCUCCACGUCGCGAACAGUGGAAUAUUCGAGGGGAACCUGAACAGAUGUGGUCGGUCUCUUUGGAAGGAGCCAUCUUGGUGAACGGAAGCUGCAGCGAUCACGACUACGAGUCAUUGUGCGGUCAACAUUAUUCAGACAUCCAGAAACAAACGCCCAGGUCGAUGGAGAAGCGAAGCACAAGACGAGGGCGAUCAGUGUUUUCUUUUCGCGCGAGGAAAACUCAAGUGGAUCGCUAACGCUUUGAAGCCCGAACUCUGCCUACGAGUUUCAAAGUUGAGUGAAUCCCCCUUGGUUUCUACGGAAAAAUGUCUCGAAGAUGAUCGGCGGAAAAUUCUACGCAGGACGAUUCCGGUACACGCAACGCAAGACUUCCAUGUGGACAACGAACUGACACUCUGUGGGGGAUGUGAUAGAAGAAGAAAAAGAAAAUGGGGACGUAACUCACGACAAAGGGUUGAAGGCAUGCCAGCAGCAACGGGAACGUUGUGGAAAUAACGGUCCUGCGAGAUACAGGAGGCGACAUGGUGUUUGCCAAGAGGGGACUGGUGAGACAACAAAGACAUGACUGGAAGGUACAGCCCCGUGCGCCUAUAGUACAUGGGACUGUAGGGAAGUUACCGGAGGCGAGAAUUGUUGUCAAGACUCUGUUCUAUAGCGGGUCUCUGACGGCAAAGUUUAUUGAAACCACACUGUAUGACGUGAUCACCGGGAACGUUUCAAAUGCUUGACGACCUACUAACCCUGAUCCGAAUUGGAAGGAAGCCGACAGUGAAGAGAUGACCACGAGACAGAGGUGCGACAAAUGUCCGACUGAGCCUCUGGAAAAGAAGAGCCAAAGGGGUGAGGAGCCGAGAAGAUGGCAUGAGCGAGCGUUAUCGGCGGAUGAAGGAAGAACGUACUACAGGCGGGUGCAGUGUCACUGUUCUGCAUCGAGCAGAAGAAGGCUUACAAGGACGUGUCUAUACACGAGUGAGACUGGUGAAACGAUGGAGACAAGGAACAGACUUGUAUAACGUGGUGAAUUCACAGUGGAGUUUGUCGACAAAGUGAGAAAGUGAAUUGCUGCAAAUUGUAUCGAGUGCGGUAUUAUAUUUGAGUUGUUUUUCGGUUCCGGAGUGUUGUAAAGUUUAUGCCAAUUAUGUUUCACUAAAGAUGUGACGGUUUA